rnacentral:rRNA from 1 species
AGUGAACGCUGGCGGUAGGCCUAACACAUGCAAGUCGAACGGCAGCACAGUAAGAGCUUGCUCUUACGGGUGGCGAGUGGCGGACGGGUGAUGAAUACAUCGGAAUCUACUUUUUCGUGGGGGAUAACGUAGGGAAACUUACGCUAAUACCGCAUACGACCUACGUGUGAAAGCAGGGGAUCUUCGGACCUUGCGCGAUUGAAUGAGCCGAUGUCGGAUUAGCUAGUUGGCGGGGUAAAGGCCCACCAAGGCGACGAUCCGUAGCUGGUCUGAGAGGAUGAUCAGCCACACUGGAACUGAGACACGGUCCAGACUCCUACGGGAGGCAGCAGUGGGGAAUAUUGGACAAUGGGCGAAAGCCUGAUCCAGCCAUACCGCGUGGGUGAAGAAGGCCUUCGGGUUGUAAAGCCCUUUUGUUGGGAAAGAAAAGCAGCAGGUUAAUACCCCGCUGUUCUGACGGUACCCAAAGAAUAAGCACCGGCUAACUUCGUG